rnacentral:rRNA from 1 species
UAUCAAUAAGCGGAGCACACGGGCCCCUGCCUUGAACAGCACNCACUUCAAGCANUGUUUCNUUGNNCACGCACCUUGUCUAUGUUCCUUGAAACACGCCGUCNCAUAGGGUGAGAAUCCCGGGGGANGAGGAGUCCAAUUCUAUGUANGGNUCCUUCGAAGAGUCGAGUUGUUUGGGAAUGCAGCUCUAAGUGGGUGGUAAAUUCCAUCUAAAGCUAAAUAUUGGCGAGAGACCGAUAGCGAACAAGUACAGUGAUGGAAAGAUGAAAAGAACUUUGAAAAGAGAGUGAAAAAGUACGUGAAAUUGUUGAAAGGGAAGGGCUUUUGAUCAGACUUGGUGUUUAGUACUCUCUGCUCCUUGUGGGUGGGGCUCUUGCUUUAUACUGGGCCAGCAUCGGUUUUGAUGGCAGGAUAAUGACUUUGGAACGUGGCUUCAUUCGUGAAGUGUUAUAGCCUUUGUUGAUACUGCCUAUCGGGACCGAGGACUGCGUCUUUGACUAGGAUGCUGGCGUAAUGAUUAAAAGCC